rnacentral:sRNA from 1 species
GAAGCAGAAGCAGGCUGGAGGGGGCCAGGGGCCUGCUAAGCUGGGUCCCAGGAGAAGGAUACCGUUUCCAUCCCUCAAGCACCCAUACAAGUUUAUAGAGGGAAACAGCACAAGCUGCCCUCUGGUGGCAGAUGCUUGAAAUUCCAGCAGAGGCCCAUCUGUCUCACAGGAUGGGUCAAGGCCUGUCUAGGAAGGCAGGGAAGUCUUUCCUCGUGUCUGGCCAGCAGCCAGACUGCUAACAGCUAUCUCUCCCAACCACAGGCCCAGCCCUCCUCUCUACCCCCUGUCCCCUUCCUGCGGAUAUAGACAGCACUUCCCUGCCCCCACUGCAGCCCCUGGCGCCCCCUACCCCAGGUUCACCCACCCAUCCUUGAUGCUAGGUUCUGGUGUACCUGGUCACCCAGCAGCCAUCCCCCACCCGGCAAUUGUGCCCCCCUCAGGGAAGCAGGAGCUGCAGCCCUUCGACCGCAACCUGAAGACACAAGCAGAGUCCAAGGCAGAGAAGGAGGCGAAGAAGCCAACCAUCAAGAAGCCCCUCAAUGCCUUCAUGCUGUACAUGAAGGAGAUGAGAGCCAAGGUCAUUGCAGAGUGCACACUUAAGGAGAGCGCUGCCAUCAACCAGAUCCUGGGCCGCAGGGUGAGACCAUGGGCAGGUGGGCUGGCAGGGAUGCUCCCCGACCAUCUUCAGCCUGCAGCCUGCUGACUCCCUGAUGCACCCCACCUGCCCCCCUUCCCUGUUGCAGUGGCACGCGCUGUCGCGAGAAGAGCAGGCCAAGUACUAUGAGCUGGCCCGCAAGGAGAGGCAGCUGCACAUGCAGCUAUACCCAGGCUGGUCGGCGCGGGACAACUACGUGAGUGCCUAGUGACACACAGCAGGGGUGGGCAGGGGACCCUUCGAGAUACCAUGCCCCAGGCCACAAUCUCGGCAAGGAACGCAGAACUACUGUCCUGAAGGCACCGAUGAGGAAGGGCACGGAGGGUCCAAGGCCUCCCAUGGCUGCCUCAGAAGAGGACAAGCCCACAUCCUAUUCUCCACUCCAGAAUAUGCUCACACAUGGGCUGUUACCCAACAUUUGAUUGGGCCACAUGGGCAGAAGGGGAGAAAGGGGUCUGGAAGUCACCUCCUUCCAUUCAAAUUGGAGACCAGAUUGGGGUGAGGGAAGAGCUUCUAAAUGCACUCCAUAGCAGCCUAGCAAGAACAGCAAUCAAGAAACACCAGCAUCCCCAAGGGGAAGAAGAAGAGGCGGUCGAGGGAAAAGCACCAAGAAUCCACCACAGACCCUGGCUCGCCUAAGAAAUGCCGUGCUCGCUUUGGCCUCAACCAGCAGACGGAUUGGUGUGGUCCGUGCAGGAGGAAAAAGAAAUGCAUUCGGUACUUACCCGGAGAAGGCCGCUGCCCCAGCCCCGUUCCUUCCGAUGACAGUGCUCUAGGCUGCCCCGGGUCCCCAGCUCCCCAGGACUCACCCUCAUACCAUCUGCUGCCCCGCUUCCCCACAGAACUGCUUACUAGCCCUGCGGAGCCGGCACCUACAUCCCCAGGUCUCUCCACUGCUCUCAGCCUCCCAGCCCCAGGACCCCCACAGGCCCCCCGCAGCACCCUGCAGAGCACACAGGUACAGCAACAGGAAUCUCAGAGACAGGUGGCCUAGCAGGCACAGGACAUCUGGCUGCCUCCAGGAGCCUACCCCUGAGAGAAAGCGACAGAGACCCAGAUCUCAUGGAAACUGGCCAGGGGUCCUGUUAACGUCAUCUCAGGGUCCAGACCCUGAAGAUUUCAGAGGCUGCAGAACUUCUGCCUGAACCUGGGGCCAUCGAUUCAAAUUGCUCCAAGUGGUGGGAAUCAGAUCUGUGUUGAUGUGUCAUCUAAUUAAGGGAAUCCCUUGUACCUAUGGCUGCCUGCAUCUAUUCUUUGUACCAUCUGCCUUGCCAGCCAGAAGCCUCUGCCUUCCUAGCUUUUCUGCUAUAGGUCAGAGAUGGGCUGAACUGAGCCUAGCUACCUUCUCUACCCAUCUCCCCCAUCCCCCACUGCCACACCCUCCCCAUUCAGACACUUCAUGGACCAAGAAUGAGCUGGUUUGUCAAACAUGUGAGCAUGGUCACAACCACAAAGCUCAAGAUGACAACUCUUCUCUUUUAAGGAAAUGGAGAAGCUCUGUUUAUAAAAACAAAAACAAAACCAGCUGCUACUCAUAAGUUGGACCAGAGGAAGCCCCUUACUAUGAUCUCAGGAGCUUGCAAGAAGCAGGAAGGGGAAUGGAAUAGGUUAAGUUUAGGCCUAUCAACCUAAGCAGCAGAAAUAAUCUGACACUACCUUAUCAGGCAAAUUGGGGGAGGGGAGGGUGUAUCUAGCUCUAGUUCAAAUUAUUUGGAAGUGUUCCCUGAGAAACUCACCAGCCUAAGAAGCUCUGAUACCAAGGCCCCAGGCUCGUCACUAGCAGCUGCAGUCAAUAGUUCAAAGAAGUCAUGGCCCAAAUCCAGUGUGCACCCCUCCCCAUUCACAGAGCCUUUUUCACAAUUCCAUUUCCAGUUCAUCUAUGGCAGUCCAGCCAGCUCCUGGGCAGCUGUGAGAUGGCAAACCCAAAACCUCAUGACAGCCAGAGCCUGUCUUCCAGCAUUCAAUCCAGGCCGGCUCCAGUUUCCCCAUGGGGCUGCGGGACAGAGGACCAUUACAACUAGAUCAAGGAGCCCAGAAAACCUCCAGUAGUGGACAACAGGUUUUCACCAUAGCCUACAUUAACCCAUUUUUGAGCCAAGCUUCAACCCUGAGCCUUGAAAAACAAGUCGUUUUUUUAAUUUAAUUUUUGUUUUUUGCCUCCUCACAUAGCCUAAAUCCAAAGAAAAAGGGCUGUCGGGCCAGGCGCAGUGGCUCACACCUGUAAUCCCAGCACUUUGGCAGGCCGAGGCAGGUGUAGCACCUGAGGUCAGCAGUUUGAGACCAGCCUGGCCAACAUGGUGAAACCCUGUAUCUACUAAAAAUACAAAAAUUAGCCAGACGUGGUGGUGCGUGCGUGUAAUCCCAGCUACUUGGGAGGCUGAGGCAGGAGAAUCGCUUGAACCCGGGAGGCGGAGGUUCCAGUGAGCCGAGAUGGCGCUACUGCACUCCAGUCUGGGUAACAGGGAGACUGCAUCUCAAAAGAAAAAAAAAAAGGCUGUCCAUUUACUCACACACCUUUCAAAAAAAAGGCUUUAGUUCCUACUUUAGCCACUGGUUUCUCAGAAUCCAAAGAUCACAUAUUCUAGUGUAACACUGCAAGAAGUCUUGAGAAAAAGAUUAUUGUAGUGUUCAAAAUAUUUUUGUAUUGUUAAUGCAUCAUCAUAGAAAAACUUUUUUAAACAUGAGAAUAAAGAUACUUUUUACUGGGUUUGUUUUUCAAAGCCUGACCCUGAG